AACGAACGCUGGCGGCAUGCCUAACACAUGCAAGUCGAACGAAGCCUUCGGGCUUAGUGGCGCACGGGUGCGUAACGCGUGGGAAUCUGCCCUUGGGUUCGGAAUAACAGUUAGAAAUGACUGCUAAUACCGGAUGAUGUCUUCGGACCAAAGAUUUAUCGCCCAAGGAUGAGCCCGCGUAGGAUUAGGUAGUUGGUGGGGUAAUGGCCCACCAAGCCGACGAUCCUUAGCUGGUCCGAGAGGAUGAUCAGCCACACUGGGACUGAGACACGGCCCAGACUCCUUCGGGAGGCAGCAGUGGGGAAUAUUGGACAAUGGGCGAAAGCCUGAUCCAGCAAUGCCGCGCGAGUGAUGAAGGCCUUAGGGUUGUAAAGCUCUUUUACCAGGGAUGAUAAUGACAGUACCUGGAGAAUAAGCUCCGGCUAACUCCGUGCCAGCAGCCGCCGUAAAAC
rnacentral:rRNA from 1 species